rnacentral:rRNA from 1 species
CUCUCACCACGAGAUGAGUCCGCGGCCCAUCAGCUAGUUGGCGGUGUAAUAGACCACCAAGGCUAAGACGGGUAGCUGGUCUGAGAGGAUGACCAGCCACACUGGGACUGAGACACGGCCCCAGACUCCUACGGGAGGCAGCAGUGGGGAAUAUUGGACAAUGGGCGAAAGCCUGAUCCAGCCAUGCCGCGUGAGUGAUGAAGGUCUUCGGAUCGUAAAAGCUCUGUGGGAAGGGACGAAAAAGCCUAACCUAAUACGUUAGGUCUUGACGGUACCUUCUUAGCAAGCACCGGCUAACUCCGUGCCAGCAGCCGCGGUAAUACGGAGGGUGCAAACGUUGCUCGGAAUUAUUGGGCGUAAAGCGCACGUAGGCGGUCCGCUAAGUCGGAUGUGAAAGCCCUCGGCUUAACCGAGGAAGUGCAUCCGAAACUGACGGGCUAGAGUACGGAAGAGGGGUUUCGGAAUUCCCGGUGUAGAGGUGAAAUUCGUAGAUAUCGGGAGGAACACCAGUGGCGAAG